rnacentral:rRNA from 1 species
AGUCACUGACAUUAGAUACCCGUGUAGUCCUAGCCGUAAACGAUACUCGCUAGGUGUCGGCCACGGUGCGACCGUUGUCGGUGCCGUAGGGAAGCCGUGAAGCGAGCCACCUGGGAAGUACGGCCGCAAGGCUGAAACUUAAAGGAAUUGGCGGGGGAGCACCGCAACGGGAGGAGCGUGCGGUUCAAUUGGAUUCAACGCCGGACAACUCACCAGGAGCGACGGUUACAUGAAGGCCAGGCUGAUGACCUUGCCUGAUUUUCCG